rnacentral:lncRNA from 1 species
UUGGCCUCGUCUGAGUGCCAACUUUCAUUCUUAACAAACACUCAAAAUUUGGAUUUUGUGCAAGAUGAAACAGAACUAUGUGUUAUAUUGAAGGAUCUGACCUUUCUACUUGUGUACCUGCCCAUGUGUUAGAUUUUCUCCUACACUCAGAGGCUAUUUUAGAUAUCCAACAAAUACUGGUGUUCCAGUGUACUGCUUUAAACCCCCAGGAAGGCUCCAGGAAGGCAGUUGAUUUCUGUGGACACUCGAAUGGCUCUUCCAGCAGUGCUGGGGAACGAGCACGUGGAUCUCAUCAACUUCUGGAUCAGUUCCUGUGGCUGAGCUGAAUCCUGUGUGAGUUUGUGAGUUAUCACAGUCCUGCUGAACCCCCAGGGCUUCACUCAUUCCCACUAGCUGAUGAUGGAGUCUCUUUUUCCCCCCAUACAUGAGCUCAGUGUUUUCUAACCUAGAAAUAAAGCAUUGGCUGGGCCAGAGGGGCGUCCGUGC